CCUACGGGCUGCACCAGUGGGGAAUAUUGCACAAUGGGCGCAAGCCUGAUGCAGCCAUGCCGCGUGAAUGAAGAAGGCCUUCGGGUUGUAAAGUACUUUCAGCGGGGAGGAAGGUGUUGUGGUUAAUAACCGCAGCAAUUGACGUUACCCGCAGAAGUAGCACCGGCUAACUCCGUGCCAGCAGCCGCGGUAUUAUGGAGGGUGCAAGCGUUAAUCGGAAUUACUGGGCGUAAAGCGCACGCAGGCGGUCUGUCAAGUCGGAUGUGAAAUCCCCGGGCUCAACCUGGGAACUGCAUUCGAAACUGGCAGGCUAGAGUCUUGUAGAGGGGGGUAGAAUUCCAGGUGUAGCGGUGAAAUGCGUAGAGAUCUGGAGGAAUACCGGUGGCGAAGGCGGCCCCCUGGACAAAGACUGACGCUCAGGUGCGAAAGCGUGGGGAGCAAACAGGAUUAGAUACCCUAGUAGUC
rnacentral:rRNA from 1 species